CCGCCUGCUGGGGUGAAAUCCAGUGGAUGUGGGUGUCAACUCCGCCGGCGGUGACUAUUUUGCCCUCGGCGCCGAUAAUUUCGGUGGCCGCGCCGAUGGGGAUAGUGACGUCCGGCUGAAUGUCCGGGUUACCCGCCUUGCCGACGGCGACGAUCCGGCCAUCCUUAACGCCGAUGUCGGCUUUAACGAUCCCCCAGUGAUCGACGAUCAGCGCGUUGGUCAGCACCAGAUCGGCGCAGUCGUCGGCCAGCAUCUGCCCCUGGCCCAUACCGUCGCGG
rfam:Pluralibacter gergoviae strain JS81F13 contig_14, whole genome shotgun sequence.